rnacentral:rRNA from 1 species
GCUCAGAUCAAGGAAGUUGACGGGGGCCCGCACAAGCGGUGGAGCAUGUGGUUUAAUUCGAUGAUACGCGAGGAACCUUACCUGGGCUCAAAUGUAUGUUGACGUAUUCUGAAAGGGAUACUUCUUCGGACAAUAUACAAGGUGCUGCAUGGUUGUCGUCAGCUCGUGCCGUGAGGUGUCGGGUUAAGUCCCAUAACGAGCGCAACCCCUAUCAUUAGUUGCCAUCAGGUCAAGCUGGGGACUCUAAUGAAACUGCCUACGCAAGUAGUGAGGAAGGUGGGGAUGACGUCAAAUCAGCACGGCCCUUACGUCCAGGGCUACACACGUACUACAAUGGCCGAUACAAAGGGCAGCGACACUGCGAGGUGAAGCCAAUCCCGUAAAAUCGGUCUCAGUCCGGAUUGGAGUCUGCAACUCGACUCCAUGAAGUUGGAAUCGCUAGUAAUCGUGGAUCAGCAUGCCACGGUGAAUACGUUCCCGGGCCUU